AUACAGAUUGCAUUACCCCCUUAAUCUAGAUGAUGUCAAGACCACAGAUCUAGCAUUAACAGAACCAGUGAUGAAAGAUUUUUGCAGUAUGUUUAGAAAUACUAUUAAGUUUGCAUCACCAGCUUCAUCAUAAAAAGGACCCAGAGAGGUCUCUCAUCCGUAGAGUCUAAAAACAGCCACAGGGCACUCCAGCAGCAGGAGGAUGUGCAGCCAUGACAACUCCAGUGUUUUGCACACAAACAUCUCAUGCUGAACACAAUAGCCAUGUCUAUUAUCACCGUGAUGUCAGACAAAGAUGGAGGACUGUCUUCCUCUUUAAGACCCCAAGUCCCCUAAUGCUACUCUGCAGAACUGGGAUGCUACAGAAUGAUGGAUUUCAAGGAGACACAGCAACCCACGGCUUACCGAUUGUAGAUGACAUGAAUCAGGUGGCCAGGUGACUCUGUGGCCUCAGCCUUAUCUUAUCUUCAUGCUUCAUCAGGGUUAGAGCCAUCUUCCUCCUGUUCCUGAUAAGAGCUGCCACAUGGGCCAAAAGUGCCAGAAGUCCUGUUGCCUUCAAACAACCUAAUCUUAUCUCAGGCUUACUGCAGGUAUUAAACACACAUGCACAUGCUGUAUGUGUGCAUUUACACACACACACACAAACAUUGUGCUGUCACAUGUUCAAGAAUAGAAAAACUUGA